AAGAAAAAGAGGAUCAUGGGGGACCAAUGGUCACCGAUUAAGCAUGGUUUGUUAUAUAGAGGGCGCAAGUAGCUACAAGUAGUGCAGUGGGCCUUUAAGAGUUCCGUGUCAAUCAUGUCCCUAUACUAUACUUAAAAUAUGAGCUUCAAAUAUUGCUUCUGUAAAGAGAUUUUACAAAUUUAGAUACACCGUCUCCCAACUAACAUAGAAGUGACUUGUGAGUAGGCUACUCAGUGCACUCAUACGUACUUGCAUUGAAUAGGGUUCACACAUAACCCAAGUCCAACUUGGGUUCUGUGUGCAUGAUUCUAUGUUAUUUCCUUCAUUAUUCUUUAGAUGCUGCUUUAAGUAUCGGCUUGCAUGCCUACUGUUUAUUCGUUAUUCUUAUCCUUAUCCUUCAGCUCAUAUUUUUCUGGGUAAAGUUGUUUGAGGCUGUACAUAGAUUAUAUUAUUUACCGGUAGACGAUUUAUACACUUUUAGAUUAUGUAAUUAAAAGUAUAUCAUCCUAGCACUAAAAUCUCCUGAGACCCUUUGCUGAUUCUUUAUUCAAAAAUUCAAUUGUUUCAGUAGAUCUAUUUGUAUUCAGGUAAUGGCUUUUUUUUCUUCUUCUGUGAUUUUAAAUUCCAUUGUAAUUAUUUGAUUGACUGUUUUUGUAGCCCUAUUGAUGCAGAAGAGAGGUAUUAUUAGACUAAGUGCUGCACUAGCUGCAUGAACACACAUUUUAUAUUAAGUUGUAUGUUUAACAUACAGUACCUUGAAAUAUGUAUCUUAUUCUAGAUCUAUAUACUAAAUACAUGUACAAUCAUUCUUGUAUGUUGUACUUUAAUGUCAUAUGAAAUGUUUAAUCUUAUUUUGUCAUACAUUUUCAAAAUUUAUUAUAUUUUUUGUGUUAUCUUUAGCUCGUCCAUAGUAGAAAAACUGUAUUUUUUAAAUAUUAUAUUUCUUGUAUUGAUGAUAAGAUUUGUUUUUUCAUUUUAUAUCAGUGUUUUUAAUUACAUUUGGAUUUUUAUUCAAAUCCUUACUAAGCUGGAAAGUUAACCUUUCAAAUGUUUCUUUUCAACAAAUAUUAUACAAGCAGAAAGUGCCUACCGGUAUAAUAAGUUGAAAUACCUUGAUAAGUAUUCACCUGAAAUAAUUGAAGUCUGGACUAGACACUAUAUACCUUACAGAACAGUUAUGUAUUGCCCAUAUUACAUCUGUUACAGUACUUUAUGUUUCCAUAAUUUAACCACGAUUAAGUACGACUUGUCCACAAUUUGACUCCGGUAUAUACUUGAGAAUAAUUUGAAUACCAUGAAAAGCUUAAUCACGAUUUACAAGAGAAAUUUGAUUAUUGUAUCAAAUGAAUUCAUUGAUGAAAUGAAGAAAAUCUUAUCAGUUAUGUGUAAAGUCGAUAGAAAGUAGGAUCAACAUGAAUCUCAGAAAGCCAACAGUUCUUGAGCUAAAGUUGUAGAUUUUCAUAGGAAAAUGUUUGAAGACAUUUGGAUUUUCUAUCGCAAGAAUGAAAAAUGAAUUUUGUUAGCUUUAUGGUACUGAUGCCAUGGUACUUGUAAUAUGCACUGGGUUAUUAUUUUUUUAAUCAUAAAUUCAUUAUUUUUAACUUCUAAGUGAAUGUAUUCUUUAAUGUUGCAUGAUGUGGCUUAAUAUUAUACUUGCCUGUACGUCAAGAUACAAUUUAUUAAUGACUUUAUCAGUGGCAUUCUAGUAAAAAAAACAGAAUAUAGUUCGAGGAAUAAAUUU